rnacentral:misc_RNA from 1 species
AUUAAUUUUUUCAAUAAAAAAAAAUUCUAAAAAUUGUUAAAUGUCGGCUAAUUUAAUUUUCACUAAAAUUACACCACGUGGAUAACAUCUAUUUAUCUAUUGACAAAUAAAUAGUAAGACCAGUGGCGCCCUUUUGAAUUUAAUUCAAUCCUCCACACUACUGGCAGCGGAACAGCUGUUUCGUGUCAAUUGCACUUGCUUGUUCACUUUACGUGUCAUCUUAUUGUUAACUGUAUAUUGUAUAUAUAAGAUGGCUUAGCAAGUGAUUAUUUAUACACACAUAUAUAUAUGGGGAUAUAUUUUUUAUAUUUAAUAAAUAUCACAGUAGUUACAUUACAUGCGGUGAAGAUAACUAUCAAGUUCUUGAGAACUUGCUAAAAUGUUGUCAGCGUUCAAAAGAUUGGCUGGUAAGCACGAUGGGGUUGUUAACACAUCACCUAGACCUGCUCAUCAAUCAAUGCCAACGACAUUGCAGAGAAAAUUUUCUAAAGGAGUCCAAUAUAACAUGAAAAUAAUCAUCAAGGGUGAUAGAAAUGUUGGUAAAACAUGUUUAUUCCAUAGACUGCAGGGCCAAAAAUUUACAGAAGAAUACAUUCCAACGGAAGAAAUCCAAGUAACAAGCAUACAAUGGAACUAUAAAACCACAGACGAUGUCGUGAAAGUAGAAGUGUGGGACGUAGUUGACCGUGGAAGGCGUAGGCGAAAGUUAGACGGCUUAAAAAUGGACAACGCUCCAUCAGACGCGAUUAUCGAAGAGCCAGCACUCGACGCAGAAUUCCUAGACGUCUACAAGGGGACCAACGGCGUGAUCGUGAUGCUGGACGUCACAAAAUCCUGGACAUUUGACUACGUGCAGCGUGAGCUGCCCAAAAUUCCCGAUCACAUCCCCGUAAUAGUCCUCGGGAAUCAUUGCGACAUGUCUCACCACCGUACAGUCACCGCGGAUCGCGUAACUUAUUUUAUCGAUUCUCUGACUGAAAGAACCGCUCAAGUGCGUUACGCCGAGUCUUCGAUGCGUAAUGGUUUCGGAUUAAAAUUGCUGCACAAAUUUUUCAACCUUCCAUUCCUGCAGCUGCAACGCGAGACACUGUUGAAGCAACUUGAGACGAAUGAAGAAGAAACCCAGCUUACUAGUCAGGAGUUGGAUUUGUUUCAAGAGAGCGACGACGCUGAUUACGAUAAAUUUUUGGACAAUCUUGUAAAUCGGCGACGUGCUGUCGCUGAAUCUGUAUCAGCAAACAUUCUAGUCCCAAAUGUAACGUCAUCAUUGAGCACACACCACGCAUUGUCUUCCAGUAAUAGUAAUAAUAAUUUUAACGAUGUUAGAAGAUCUAAUUCAAUGCCUGGACCGAUUGGUGGUGGUACUCCUAUUCCUGUUAAAUCUUUUGAGGCCAAAGUAAUACCAAAAAAAGAAACCAAGACGGAUUAUAAUGGGAAAAAUUUAUCUUCUGUAAAACCAGAUUCAAUUUCUGAUGAUAGAAAAGAAAAACAGCAAAAUUUUGUCGCUAAAAUUCUUGCUGGUGGAAAAAAAGAUGAUGUUCCAACAAUAACAACAAUAAAUUUAACUAAUGCAGCUAAUAAUAAAAAUUCUUCUCCGCUAGCAAGCGUUGAAGACUUUGUUCCGGAUGAUGGAAUGUUAGAUAGGUCUUUUUUGGACGACAAUAAUCAGUCACCUCAAAAAACUCAGGCUAGUAGUAAUGUAGUUGAUACAGAUAGUGAGACAGAGACUGCUAACCCACUUGUUGCUGGGUAUGAAGACGAUCUUUCGUCGGCUGAUGACGAUCAUUCCGUUCCUGUAGAACCAAGACUUGCUGAGAAUCCUUUGAGCAAGUCUAAAAAGCGAGAUCGUGAUGCUGGUUCUUUAAUUGAGGAUAAAAAAAUAAUUCCUUCGGAAAAACGCGACUCGAUAUCGUCCAGUGAAGAGCUCCAGAUCUCAAAUGGAGAUUUUGGGUCGCUGGAUCACCAGGAUGGAAAUUCAGACAGGUUUAAUAGUUGGUUGAGUCGGGACUCCAAGUGGCGGCAGAGCCCCGAGGGUGGCGAAGAUGUUAGUAGCACUGGAACCAGAAAAGAUAAAUUGGAUGUCAGUGAUAAGAGUCUAGAUGUCAGUGUUACUAGUUCUAAUGUCCAUUUGGAGCUGCUGGAUAAUUCGAGCGUUAGGCAAAAUUAUGCUUAUGCUAAUUCUAAUUCUAAUAGUCCGGUGAUGAAGGAGAAGAAGAAGAGGGAUAAGGGCGAGGAUAAAGAGAAGAGGAAGAAGAAGAAAAGUAAAGAUAAGAGCAAGGAUAAGGAUAAGGGGGAUAAGACCGAGAGGAGGAAGAAACGAUCGCAGAGAAAGGAUGAGGAUGAGGGGAAGGAUGAGCUUGAAGAGUUUUUAAAUGGACCUGCUUCGCGACCAUCUAUUGAUAUGGCUUAUGAAGCUUUGUAAGGAAAAGAUUUAAAAGCUUCGACUUCCAGUUAUAAAGUUGUUUAUAAAAUAGCUUGUGUUGUUUAUGCCAUGGUCUAUAAUCGAUUAUUAAAUUAUUGUAAUGACUUAUUGACGGAUGAACCCUCGAUUAAGUUACUCGAGAUAAACAAUAAUAAUAAUACAUAAAAGAUUUACAGUUUUGAUGAGAAUAUUGAGCGGAAUUAAUUAACCGAUUUUUAACUUGGCUGUUUAUUCCAGUUAAUAACAACUUAUUCCAAUAAAUGAUCUUCAAAAUACAAUAAAUCGUUAAACAGUUAAUAAAAUUUUAAUAAAUACAAUUUAUAUAUAAAU